rnacentral:sRNA from 1 species
GUUUAUCUGCCGAGUUUUGUGCUUUGCACAAAACAUCGCAUUAUUGUAUGUAGUUUUGCAAAAGCAAAACUACUUGAAAAAACUUUUUUCAGGAUUUGAUAAUCCUUGCAAAAAGUUUUUAUGGG